rnacentral:tRNA from 1 species
GUUCCUAUGGUCUAGUGGUUAGGAUACUUCGUUGUGGCUUGCCGAAGCGGCCCGUGUUCGAUUCACGGUGGGGACA